rnacentral:rRNA from 1 species
UACGUAGGGUGCAAGCGUUGUCCGGAAUUAUUGGGCGUAAAGAGCUCGUAGGCGGUUUGUCGCGUCGGCUGUGAAAACUCGGGGCUCAACCCCGAGCCUGCAGUCGAUACGGGCAGACUAGAGUGCUGUAGGGGAGACUGGAAUUCCUGGUGUAGCGGUGAAAUGUGUAGAGAUCCGGAGGAACACCAGUGGCGCAAGCGGCGCUCUGGGUCCGUACUGACGCUGAAGUACGAAAGCGUGGGGAGCGAACGGG